rnacentral:rRNA from 1 species
GGGUGAGUAACACGUGGAUAACCUACCUAUAAGACUGGGAUAACUUCGGGAAACCGGAGCUAAUACCGGAUAAUAUUUUGAACCGCAUGGUUCAAAAGUGAAAGACGGUCUUGCUGUCACUUAUAGAUGGAUCCGCGCUGCAUUAGCUGGUUGGUAAGGUAACGGCUUACCAAGGCAACGAUGCAUAGCCGACCUGAGAGGGUGAUCGGCCACACUGGAACUGAGACACGGUCCAG